AACGAACGCUGGCGGCAUGCCUAACACAUGCAAGUCGAACGAGACCUUCGGGUCUUUUGUCGCCCGGGUUCGUCACGCGUGGGAACCUUCCCUUGUGUUCGGAAUAACUCCCCGAAAGGGGUGCUAAUACCGGAUAAUGUCUUCUGACCAAAGAUUUAUCGCCUUUGGAUGGGCCCGCGUUGGAUUCGCUAGUUGGUAGGGUAAAAGCAUACCACGGCGACGAUCCAUAGCUGGUUUGAGAGGAUGAUCAGCCACACUGGGACUGAGACCCGGCCCAGACUCCUACGGGAGGCAGCAGUGGGGAAUAUUGGACAAUGGGCGAAAGCCUGAUCCAGCAAUGACGCGUGAGUGAUGAAGGCCUUAGGGUUGUAAAGCUCUUUUAACCGGGAUGAUAAUGACAGUACCGGGAGAAUAAGCCCCGGCUAACUACGUG
rnacentral:rRNA from 1 species